rnacentral:rRNA from 2 species
UCCUUUGACGUUAGCGGCGGACGGGUGAGUAACACGUGGGCAACCUACCUUAUAGUUUGGGAUAACUCCGGGAAACCGGGGCUAAUACCGAAUAAUCUGUUCCACCUCAUGGUGGAACACUGAAAGACGGUUUCGGCUGUCGCUAUAGGAUGGGCCCGCGGCGCAUUAGCUAGUUGGUGAGGUAACGGCUCACCAAGGCGACGAUGCGUAGCCCACCUGAGAGGGUGAUCGGCCACACUGGGACUGAGACACGGCCCAGACUCCUACGGGAGGCAGCAGUAGGGAAUCUUCCACAAUGGGCGAAAGCCUGAUGGAGCAACGCCGCGUGAGUGAAGAAGGUUUUCGGAUCGUAAAACUCUGUUGUAAGGGAAGAACAAGUACAGUAGUAACUGGCUGUACCUUGACGGUACCUUAUUAGAAAGCCACGGCUAACUACGUGCCAGCAGCCGCGGUAAUACGUAGGUGGCAAGCGUUGUCCGGAAUUAUUGGGCGUAAAGCGCGCGCAGGCGGUCCUUUAAGUCUGAUGUGAAAGCCCACGGCUCAACCGUGGAGGGUCAUUGGAAACUGGGGGACUUGAGUGCAGAAGAGGAAAGUGGAAUUCCAAGUGUAGCGGUGAAAUGCGUAGAGAUUUGGAGGAACACCAGUGGCGAAGGCGACUUUCUGGUCUGUAACUG